CCCCAACCUCCCCCUGGCUCCCGGCGCCGCCCGCCCCCAUCUCCUCCCCGAUCCGGCGCCGCCCGCCCCCAUCUCCUCCCUCACUCCCGGCGACGCCCCACCAGAUCCUUCGCCGUCGCCCUCGCACAUCAAGCCGCCGCCGAUCCCCUCCCCCAUCUCCCUCCCUCAAACGCCGCCGCCAGUCGCUGCCGCCCCCGCCACCUCCCGUCGCGGCCGCCACCACCACCUAGGGUUGUGCUCUUCUCUGGCGUCGGCCCGUCGCCCUCGGCCCGAUCUCCGGUCGCCGUCCUCCACCGCGUCGGCGGCGGCGCCGCCGCGUGGCGCCACCUGCUGCUCCUCCUCACCGCCCAACUGCUCGCGCUCGCCCUCCUCGCGUUCGCCUCCAGUGGCGUGGCGGCGGCGUGGACGACGCCGGCUCCCCUCGCCUGGCCGUGCCGGCCCCGUCGAGGCUGCAGUCCCUCCAAUCCUCCGCCGCCUCCUGCGUCGAGGUACUCGCCGCCCCCGCCUUCCCCUACCUCCGCGGCUGGUCCUUCCACUUCGACGCGUCAGACACCCACCAUCCCAGAGUACUACCUUUCCAAUCUCACCUCCGCCCUCUUCCUCGCCGGUCGCCGGCCGAUGUGUCCGACCUGUGAAGCAGGAAGCUUGUUCGAUGAGAAAAAUCCCUGCCUCACGAUUUGCUUCGUGAAGGCCAGAAUUUCGCUCUUUGUUUGUCUACUGAAAAACCUCCAUGUGGGGAUAGAUGUCAUCAUAGAAUGCGUGCAGUAAAAUUAUUCUGACUGUAUUCUGUAUCAUUAUUUUGGUUAGUCUAAAAUAAAUAAUUUGGUUAGAUUUGUCUUGAAGAAUAGAUUCAACCUAUACUUCUAGGUUUUGAUACAGAAAAUAGAAAUUCGUUGCCAAAGCUGUGUAUGGAGACUAUUUCAGUAUCUGGAAGUACACUUGUGACCGGAGGCAUGGCCGCUGUUGCUGCCAACAUAGUGGAAGUGAGCGCAAUCUGGGAGUAACAAGCACACUGUUUAGUAGGAGGGGAUGGAGAGCUUUACAAAUGGGAAUGUUAGGUUAUUGAAGCAUGAACGCAGCAUUGUUGCAGAGGAUGAUCUUGACCAUCGGUGGCAGGAAGCCACUCGAGAGGCUGUUUCCGAGGUGUGCCACAUCUGAGGGAGGAUGAGACCCCCCCCUCAAGGUGGGAGGCCUGGAUGGGCAGCGGUGCCAAACCCUCGAAUUGGCCCAUGGUUCCUGUUGAUGCAAAAGGUUGCUGCAGACCAAGGUCUUGUUCCAGAGUUUGAGAUUACACUUGAAGCAACUCAGCACGGACCACCAUGAAGCUACUCACUAUGGCCGAUGUGUCCGACCUGCUGAUCUUUUGCUUGCUUGCCAGGUGUGCGUGCAAACGAGCACCUCCGCAGGCCUGGACCAGAUCCUGCCGUGGCUCUUCUACCACAAGGUCAUCGGCGUCGCACACUUUUUGCUCUUCGUCGAGGGCAAGGCCGCCAAGCCCAGCGUCGCCGGGGUCCUCGAGUCCAUCCCCGGGUGUGAAGGUGGUGUACAGGACCAAGGAGCUUGAGGAGCAGCAGGCCAGCCGAAUCUGGAACGAAACCUGGCUCGCAGGAUUCUUCUACAAGCCUUGCAACCACAAACUGUUUUUGAAGCAAGCACUCAACAUGGAGAUGGCCAUUGUGAUGGCCCGGGAAUCUGGCAUGGAUUGGAUAAUGCAUCUAGACACCUAUGAGUUGUUAUAUCCCGGCAGUAUUCCAUCAAACGCCUGUUAGCUGACGUCCCCGAUGAUGUUGACAUGGUUAUUUUUCCUAACUAUGAAAGCAGCGUCGAGCGUGAUGAUAUAAAAGAUCCAUUCAGUGAGGCUGGGUGAGAAGCAAAGAAGGGUCACGGUGAACUAUUGCUAGCUUGAGGAGAUGCUCACAUGAAGACAUGGUUGCCGAAGUUUCUACCUUUUCAAGUUGUUUGGUUAUGAGCCAAGACUGAAGAUAUACAAACUUAUGUAAAUCCUCAAAUAUGUGGGCAGCAUGGACCACCAGAUAGGUAAGCAAGAGAAGGACCAGUUCAUAAUCAUCUUAUUUGUUCUACUUGGACUGUCGUUGUUACUUGCAGUUGCCUCUGUUACCAUGUGGCAACGCAAUCAUGAAGGGCUUGACGUGUUGGCUGUCAAGAAGCACUAGGUCGACGGCAGGCAAGGCAUCCAGGAAGCCACAUCACGAGAGAGCGAUGGCGCUCAAAGGGUGAGGUUGACAAAUGGUGCGGUGACACUAGCUCGCUAGCCAAGCAGACUACAUUCUGGACUAUUUACACAUCAUGGACUAAAAUUGGACUAUUUACACAUCAUGGACUAAAAUUGGACUUCUUUCUGGACUCACAUCUUUUAUAUAAUAUAUACUCAAGUCUGAUAUGCAUUUUAUUUAUUCUAUAAUUAAGUACAAUCUUUUAAGUUGCUGCUGAAUGAAGAAGACAUGGGGUUAGAAAAAUGUUAAGAUUGACUUGAUGUGUGGUAAGGAACAUCCAGUUGAAAAGUUUUUGAUGCUUGAACAUCCACUACUCAAUUAUUCUUUUAGGUAUGCAUAAUCUGCCAAGUUAUAAGCAGUUCCUUUUAUUUGGGCACGCAUAAUGACCAUUCCGCAGCAUCAGGUUCAAAAAAAGUUCUUCAAGGUUAGUAAUUUUCUCCAAAAAGAAAGUUCUUCAAGGUUAGUAAUUAAUACUCCCUUCCCAUAUGGAUAUGCAUGAUGGUUGUUCAUUUUUUGGGAUAGCUUACUCAUCUUAUGCCUUGAAAACUGAGCUACCUCCAUGAUUAUGCAUCUGGUCUCAGUAGAUUUUUUUUCCGCCAAAAUACAGUUGUGAAGAGGAGUUCCUGAUGAUAGCUGAAUAUACCAGCCUACUUGCCUACAACCAAGGCAAAAUUAUCAGCGUGUAUGCGAAACAGCCUGCUAGCUGGGUGUGUGCCUCCUGUUUGAGCGAAAGGGAGGACCUUUGCUGGGCAGUCAAAGGAUGUGCUCGGAUAUGGUGGUCCAGCACCAAGGAACCAAUCACCCAGAUGCCUUUCCUAGACUGAUCCAAAGACUAAUGAAGCUGGGGCUGUCAAACUGACCAAAGCAGCGGUGACUGUAGAUGCUGCUCACGCAUCUGUUGUUCUUGCGUGCGCGGGGGCGCGGAGGUGGGCGACCGGGCGCGGGAGGCGGCUCGGCACGGCGAAGCGGGGCCGGGCCGGACUCGCGAGCACCAGGCAGGCGCAGCUGCCACCUGCGUCGACCAGGAGCACACGCCCGGGAUGUUGUGGCCUGGCACUGUCCGUCGUGGAGCUCGCGAGGGACUCCUUGUCACGGGUGGGCGCUGCCUGUCACGGCGCUCGCGAGGUCCAGUUUGGGAUCCAUGGAGCCAGAGUGCGGCGGUAGAACUGCGCGACGGCGACGGCCGUCGCGGUGGGCGAGCACGGCGGCGGCGACUGCAACUGCUGCCGCGGUGACUGGCUGCUGUUGUUCCUGCUUGCGCGACAGCGGUGACUGCAGAUGCUGCUCAUGCAUCUGUUUUUCCUGCGUGCGCGGGGGAGCGGAGGCGAUGGCGUUGCGGCGGCGAUGACUGCAUUGGGUCAACUUUUUCGUCUGCACGGACACGAACAGACGAAAUGGGUCGGUGUGUUGCAGUUGCUCUAACUCCCUGAAAAAUUUCAUUCAUUUGCUUUUUCCAUUCAUUUGCUCUUAGGAUGUAGGAUGGAGCAUAGUUUGUGCUGUUGAUUGUCAAUUGUACUCCCUCCGUUCCUAAAUAUAAGCCUUCAGUUUGUGAUGUUGAA